rnacentral:rRNA from 1 species
GACGAACGCUGGCGGCGCGCCUAACACAUGCAAGUCGAGCGGAACAGGGACUUCGGUUCCUGUCCAGCGGCGGACGGGUGAGUAACGCGUGAGCAACCUGCCCUUCAGCGGGGAAUAGCGUCUGGAAACGGACGGUAAUACCGCAUAACGUGUCUGGGAGACAUCUUCCGGACACCAAAGGAGAAAUUCACUGAAGGAUGGGCUCGCGUCCGAUUAGGUAGUUGGUGAGGUAACGGCCCACCAAGCCCGCGAUCGGUAGCCGGACUGAGAGGUCGAUCGGCCACAUUGGGACUGAGACACGGCCCAGACUCCUACGGGAGGCAGCAGUGGGGGAUAUUGCACAAUGGAGGAAACUCUGAUGCAGCGACGCCGCGUGAGGGAAGAAGGUCUUCGGAUUGUAAACCUCUGUCUUUGGGGACGAAGAAAGUGACGGUACCCAAAGAGGAAGCCACGGCUAACUAC